UGGUACUGAGACACGGACCAAACUCAUACGGGAGGCAGCAGUGAGGAAUAUUGGUCAAUGGACGCAAGUCUGAACCAGCCAUGCCGCGUGCAGGAUGACGGCUCUAUGAGUUGUAAACUGCUUUUGUACGAGGGUAAUAUCAGAUACGUGUAUCUGCAUGAAAGUAUCGUACGAAUAAGGAUCGGCUAACUCCGUGCCAGCAGCCGCGGUAAUACGGAGGAUCCAAGCGUUAUCCGGAUUUAUUGGGUUUAAAGGGUGCGUAGGCGGUUUUAUAAGUUAGAGGUGAAAAUUCGGGGCUCAACUCCGGACGUGCCUCUAAUACUGUAUGACUAGAGAAUAGAUGCGGUAGGCGGAAUGUAUGGUGUAGCGGUGAAAUGCGUAGAGAUCAUACAGAACACCGAUUGCGAAGGCAGCUUACCAAACUAUGUCUGACGUUGAGGCACGAAAGCGUGGGGAGCAAACAGGAUUAGAUACCCUGGUAGUCCACGCAGUAAACGAUGAUAGCUCGUUGUCGGCGAUACAUUGUCG
rnacentral:rRNA from 1 species